GCUUCAGCCACACAAGAAGCACGUCACCUAGUCCUGGGACUGAACUGAAAGAGCAAGCAAGCAAGCCAAGCUUGUGGCUCGAGAUGGGGCGCGACAGAUCUAAGACGUACACUUCCUAGCUAGAGAAGCACAUCCAAAAAGAUUUGGCUUGGUUUUUUUGGAUGUGCUUCUCUAGCUAGGAAGAAGGAAUGUAUACAUGGCUAUGACGGUACAUCCCACCAUCAUCUUCUCCUUCUCCGGCUCUUAUGCCAACUUGCUAGCAUUUUGCGCUAUUUUUUUUCACUCCAGCCACCGGAAUGUGACUCGUCGUAGGCAUCUCCGUUGCUAGGAUGGUAUGCAAGUGUCCUAGCAAGCGUUCAAGCACACGCUGAGUAGUGCCAUGGAGAAGAUACGGUUACUGUUUCCGUGGACCUUAAUCUUACACAGUUCCUCCAUCACAAUUCCAGCGACCACACCUUUGAUUUGAGGGUUCCAUUCCCCAACAAGGGAUUGAAGCAUCAAAGAGUUGAACUUGAAGGCAAGAAGGACACACACCCCCAUGUGCUCACAUCGGUUUGCUCAGGAAGCGGCUCACACACUGUCCACGUAUGCCAUAAAGAAACGUCGCAUCCUGCAAGCAACACCACACUUUGCAAUCGCAUUAUCUUGUCAUUUCAUUUCAUUUUUUUUCUAUAUGGCGCACACAACUACUCCCUUCGUUGAAAUAUAAGAUGUUCUAACUUUUUUCUGAUUCAGAUGAGUAUGUAUAUAGACUCAUUUUAAUGUAUUUGUACAAUCCAUAUUGAAAUAUUCAAAACAUUUUAUA